CCUUGUUUUAUCAGCUACUUGAAGUAGAAUGACACAUUGUAAUGGUGGCCAAUUGAUUCUUUACAAAUUUGAUAUUGAUGACUGUAUGUCUUAAACUCAUAAGUUAUCCAAGACAGAUCAUCAAACAUGACAAAAUCAGCCUAUGGAAAUGAGAUUUCAUAUGUGGAUGUGGGAUCAGGAGUCUGAAACUUCCAAACUGAAGAAGUGGCUGCAUUCCUACCAGCAAUGAAUGAGAGAGAGACCAAGCCACCAUCAUCUCUCUCCCGGUCUGCUGCAGUAGCCCCCUACCGGUCUCCUGGUCUCCUUGUCCUGAUGCCCUUCUGCAGCCAGAACGCUUCUUUUAAACCUCAUUUUGACAUCCUUGAAGGCUGUAGUUCUCAAAAGGUGGUUCCUAGACCAGCAGAAUCAGCAGCACCUGGGAAUUUCAAGGCUCUACUCCAGACCUACUAACUUAGAAACUUUGGAGGUGGAGACCAGAACUCUGUUUUAACAAGUCCUCCUGAUGACUGUCAUGAACACUGAAGUUUGAGAACUGCUCUCACCAUUUAUGGCUUGCCAAUUAAUGGAAUACCUCUGCCAAGAAAACAUGAUUCAGUUACAUUCCAUAACAUGGAUUUAGCAGCACUGUUACUUCCAUUCGCCCAAUAUUUCCCUGUCGGAGAUAAAGAAUGUUGGUGAACUAUCGGGAAGGUACCUUAAUUAAUAAAUAUUUUAUACUGAUGUUACAAA